UUUCCGUAGGUGAACCUGCGGAAGGAUCAUUACCGAGUGAAGGUCUCUCAGGCCCGAGCUACCAUCCCGUGUUUUUGUGACCUUGUUGCUUUGGCGGGCCCGCCUCAAGGAGAGGCCGCCGGGAGCACACCGCCUUUGGCCCGUGCCCGUCAGUAGCCCCCGUAAAUCCUUAAUAAAAAUGUAAACUGUGAUAAAGGAAUUAAUUAAAAAAAACUUUCAACAACGGAGCACUUGGUCCUGAGAGCGAUGAAGAAAACAGCAGAUCGGAAGAAGAAACGC
rnacentral:misc_RNA from 1 species